AUAGACUGCUGAAUGUUCAAACUGUGUUCAAAUAAGAUGGUAUCACAAGAAGGAUCUGAAGUGGAGCUUCUAGUAUCCCCAGGAGCAUGAAGUGAACACGGAAGGUACCUGCAGGAUCCAGUUGUGUCCAUUGAUCUCUCAGAGUGGCUGAGGAUAAUAGAGUUUCUUCUUCAAGGUCUCAAGGUCUGAAGCAUCCCACAGAAUGAUCCUACUGAAUAACUCCCAUAAGCUGCUGGCCCUAUACAAAUCCUUGGCCAGGAGCAUCCCUGAGUCCCUGAAGGUGAGGGAACAGUGGGAGGUCAGGACAUGAGAGUAGGGUGUUGAGGAUGAGAAAAUAGCAGGCUUGUGAUUCUAGUCCUUCCUGACUUUUUCCAGAGGGUUGAAGCUGGGAAAAAGGAUGGGAUUGGGGGCACAGGCUACAUAUCAAGAACUGCUGCUUCUCUUUGGAAAGAGGCAGCUAGGCCCACUCUGCAGGUUUUGCCACUCAUUUGGAGAGGCGGUGGAGCAUGGUGGCUACAAACAUGGUUUGGAGCCUGUCUGAAUGGAUAUGCAUUCCAAGGCUGCCAUUUUCUAGUCAGAUGGCUUUGUG
rnacentral:sRNA from 1 species